rnacentral:rRNA from 1 species
UACAUGUGGGAGCAAGCGUUGUUCGGAAUUACUGGGCAUAAAGGGUGCGUAGGUGGCUUGUUAAGUCAGGGGUGAAAGUUUUCGGCCCAACCGGAAAAUGGCCUUUGAUACUGGCGAGCUCGAGUGCGUGAGGGGUAACCGGAACGAGCAGUGUAGCGGUGAAAUGCGUAGAUAUUGCUCGGAAGGCCAACGGCGAAGGCAGGUUACUGGUGCGCAACUGACACUGAGGCACGAAAGCGUGGGGAGCAAACAGG